GGCCUGACCAUCCAUGAGGCUGAAGACCUGUGGGUCUGGGACUGGCACCAGGACAGCAGGUUCCUGGGCUACAAGAACAGAGCCAGGGUCAGGGAGGCCGUGGGAUCUGGCACAGCCUCCCCAAUGUGCGCAUCCUGUAGCUGAGCCACGUCAGGGAGCAGUGGGGACGGGUCACCUCGUCCCAUCCAAGCAAGCAACGCUGGCUCUCAAAGAGGCUUAGAUGAAAGACCCCACUUCCUCAUGGAGGAAGGGGCUCCCCAGAGAUGUCCUCGAACCUGGACUCCUGAGAGCGUAUCUGGCAGGAGGCUCCAGCCCCUCAGACAUGAAGAGAGCAUCAGGUAGUCUCGUUCACAUGGCAUCUCCGGUCUCCAGCUCCACUUCCCGCAGCAGAGCAAACGAACCCAUCGGCUCCCAGAAUCCCAACUCUUUGACUUCCUUUCGCUCAGCAGUGGGGUUUCUCCAGCCCCCUCACCACACCUGUCAGCCUCUGAAUGAUGAAGGGCCUGAAUGUUCGAGUCACCGGAAUAAGCAAAGUCCAGGUCCAGACAAUGGGGCCUGAGUGUACUCAGCCCCUCUGGAAACCAGGUCUGAAAUGGGGAGCAAGGACCCCAGGCCAAUAACAGUAGGAGUGGGCAGAGCAGGCCUGUAACAGGGUGCUUUCCCCUGGGCUGCAGAGCCUGGGGCCUAGCCAAGCUGAUUACAGAAUGAGCCCUAACUGAGAGGCACCAGGUAUCUCCCCCUAAAGAGCCAGACUUCCGUGGUGACACAGCCCAGCUGGGGUAUCAACAGGAAGGAGAAUGAGGUCAUUCAGAGCAGCAAGAGAAACUUAAGAAGAGAGGUAGGACGUGCCCAGGGAAACCUGCAGCAAAGAGAAAGGAGCAGACCUUGCUAUUGGGUACAGGGCCCUUGGCUGCUACCAAUGUCAGGGUGGGACUGGGUUCCCCUACUGGCCCCUAAGAAGGGGCUGUACUCAAACCCGGAGAGGGUUUCGAAGCCCAGGAAGGGGGCUGCAGGCUGAGCAAGAUCCCCAGCCAUGGCAGAAGGACUUCUUUCUGUGGAAAGACCUCUUUGGACUUCUAGUGUGAGACAAGCUGGGCCCCAGAAGGGUGGACAAAAGGUGGUAACCUGGCUGGAGGGCUGAGUUACCAGGCAGAGAAACUACCAUGGUGCUGGAGCGACCAUGGAUGGGGGACGCUAGCCCAGCGAGAGGGCUGUGAUGUCAUACCUGGUCUCCUGCGCGGGCACGUAACAAUGAGUAGAUUUAUUUGAUUGGCAUAGUCAGGAGGAUUGAAUUCUGCCUGUGAUCUGCGAGGACUGAUGGAAGACUUGGUUGCUGAAGGAAUGUCUGUCCUCCCAAGCGGGUGUAUCGAGGGACCGAGCCGGUCACUGGAUUUCCCAUUUUAGUUCCAGGGACUGGUUAAGCAGCCAAAGCAGGUCUAGGGGUUUCUCCAGGUGCUCCUAGAAAACCAAGAGAGGCAGAAGGAAGUGGAGGCAGAGCUACAGACGCAGCAGCAGCUAUACCUGUGAGAGAUCUUGCAAAGGGAAUGCCCAUGGAGAAAAAGAGCAGACACGGAGAGCAUGCCUGGGCUGUGCUGAGAAGGUUAGCCCAGGAGAGCAGGGCAUGAGAAAGUGUACAAGCCUGGCCUAAUGCCAAGAUGAGGACAAUAGUUCUUUGUUUUGGGUGCAGAGAAGCAGGCCAUAUCAAAAGACCGGGCCUGCUUAGGAAAUUGCUGAGUGUCAAAAGGAGGGGCCAGGGCCCCAAGAGGUUAGAAAGAACGGAGAAGGUGUCCUCUGACACAAACCCACAUGAGGCAGGCAACGUGGAGGUGGCAGGGAUGGCCAUGGACUUUGCAGACCCUCCACCAACACACGUUGUCGGAUGCUGCAGGGAGGUGAAGGACGAAAUGGUUGGCCCAGAGAUGAAGCAGACUGGAGUAGGGACAAACGCAAGGGGGGAGCAGUCCAUGGUGGGCUCUCUGACCCUGAUGGAAAAGGUUUUGGUGUAUGCAGCGGCAGUAGCAAAGAGGCUACAGAAGAAGCUAAAGGCUUCAGAAGAGGCUUUGCAAGCAGCUGUUAAUGAGAAUGAGUGGCUGCAGGAAGAGCGUUGGGAUCCUGCAGAAGAGGAGGAUGCCUCUGCAUUCUGGUGUGGGAGCUGGCAGGGGAGCGGGAGACACUGUGGGUGCAGGCUGUACAAGCGCGCAGCCGGUGACAGCGACGAGAUGACGAGGGAUGAAGCUUGGACAAGAACAGAACUUCCCCUCGUGUGGGCCAGUUUCUAAGGAGGAGCAUAUAUGACAGGGGGUUUGGCCUGUGGGCAAUAAAGCCUGGAGCUAGGCCAAAUGGAUUACAGAGUGAGCUCCACCUGAGGGGAAAGCCAGGGAAAACCACAGCAAAGGUACAGGAGCAGGCCUAGCUGUUCGGUACAGGGCCAUAGAAAGGGCUACCAAGGCCAGCAAGGGCAGGCCAAGCCAAAGUCAGGCUGAGGAAAAGCCCCCAAAGGGACGGAGGACCUUGUUUCAGUUAAAGACAUUUUUGAACUUUUCCUCUGGGAUGAGUGCGACCCAGGAAGCAGUGGACUAAAGGAGGGUCACCUGGCUGAAGGGCUGAAUUCCCAGGCAAAAAACUGCAAAAGGGCCCAAGUGACUCUCAGCGGGGGUGGUAGCCCAACAAGAAAGCUGUGCCACCAGGCCUUGCCAGGAAGGGGCACUUAUCGGCUCUGUCCCAGCCUCUCACACAGAUAUAUCCUGCAACCAGCCCAGCUCAGGGAGCAGUGGGGACAGGUCAUCUCAUCCUGUCAAACCUAGCAACAUGGGUCCCAUUGAGGCUCAGAUGGAAGAUCCCAUGCUCCUCCUGGAGAGGGUGUGUCCAGAAUCCUGGAGACUGUUUCCUGCUGCUGGAGGUUUGAGCGGGAAGAGAUCACUCACUGUCACGACCCUGGGGUCUUCAACCCGGGUCUGUGGGGUUCAUGGGAGCAACCACACUCCAACCCUCCACCUGGAAGGCUGCUGAAAAUUGCUUACCUAAGGCCCAUGAAGCUCAGCCCCAGUUUGAGGCUCCGCUCCUGAGAUCCUAUUGGAGGAGUCCCAGAAAAGCUAAUUGGCCCCCUGGUCCUCUUAAGACAGCAGCAGGAACAGGAAGCUGACUGAACACCAGGGCUGCUCCCUGUUCUGGAUCGUGUGGUGCCUGUUUCUGCUGCCGCUCCCCUGGCUUGGUUUCCUGGCAUCUGAUUUGUGGUUGUGAUCGCAAGUUUGUCUUUUGCUGCUGAUCUUCCAGUUUUCUGACCCAGCUGACUCUCCACUCCUGUCAUGGGAGUGUGGACUUUGGCUUUGACCAGUAGGUCUGGCUGCCCUUGACCCAGCCAUGACAUUGACUUUUGUCCAAUUUCUCCAAUGCCCUUUUCUGCUCUCCAGCAAGAUACACCAGUCCCUUGGCUCCCAAAGUCCUAGUUGCCCGCUAUUCAAGGGCUGAGGGGUAGUGCUUGUAUUGCCCCCACCCCAGCUACUUUUCCGAUGGGAAUCUCCCUAGAGCAGAGGAGAAAUCUGCUCUUCUCUUAGGAUCAGUCCCAGCAGUAAUUCCAUCCACCCUGGCCUCAGCUCAACUACUUUGUUUACCUGGGGUCAGGGACCACUUUUGAAGCCCUUAGCGUGUGGGUGGAGGUGGGAGCAGAGGCUGAAGCUCGAGCAGUUUCCACCAAAGAGCACCACCCUCUCUUUCUAUGGUCUGGCUUGGGCUCACCAUCCAUCUUGGAGCUGAACACCAGAUGGGAGCUGAUAGAUUGUCCUUGGCGGGCAGUGUUCUGUGUGUGACGGAGCUGUGUGCCAGAGAGGGCCAGGAGCAGAUGCACCACGCCUGGCCAGGACCGGGCUAAACAGCCUGUAAUGCUAGCCAGUCGAUCCCCCAGUGUCAUCACCAUGCCUGGUGGCUGGGCAGGGUAACUCCUCAGGUCACCACCAUCCUCUCCAGCCUGCCUUGGGCUUGGAGAGUGAGGAGAAGGGCGAGGGACGACACUGAACAUCCUCCAUCCAUCGCUCCAUCACCUAGAGCAAGAUGGCCAGGCUCCUGAGGAUGUUCAGGAAGAAGGCUCUGCAGGUGGCCCCCGAGCUUGAGGGAAGCAGUUGCCAUCUUCCCCAGGAGCAGAGCGGCCCCUCCAUCCAGGCCAAAAUGGAGUUGGGCCAGGAUGCGGCUGGGAAGGCAGGACCCAGCCCAGGAGCGGAACCGGGCAGGGUGACUCUGGGGCUUGUUGUGUGGACAGCAGCGGGCCCAGGAGCCCAGCCCUGAUUUCCAGCAGGAGGCGUCGCCCUACCCUGUCCCUGAGGACCUUCCAGCCUUCCCAGAGAAGGAGGUGGAGAUCCCUGUCCCAGCACCAGCACCUCAGCCCGCUCCCCAUGUGACAAUAGCAGCGCCUGGGACUCGGGCAGCAGUGAGGCCUAUGGACGCUUCUGCUUUGUUCCAGGGACUGCCAGGGACUCAGAGGAGGAUUGGGUGGACGUGGUCACAGAGGAGGCUGCUCUCAAAAACAUCCGAGAGCAGGUCCAGGGCCGAGAAAAGGAUGAGGCCCAGCAGCUCCUGUUCCUGCACGCCAUCCACCCCGCGUGUCUCGCUGCACAGCAGAGAGGGCAAGACACACUGGGGCCGCACUGCUGCAAGGCGGCUGUGGAGGAGAGGAUUGUGUCAGCCAGUGAGGCCAGUUUGCAGAAUGUGGAAGAGCCCUUUGGUGAUGGGUUGGAGGAUUCACCAUGGAGGUGGCAGUAGCUGCAGUGCCUGGGGUCCCCAUGGGCCAAGCCUCCACUCCUGACAAGCCAGGCUAAUCUCCCACUGCUCUCAGUGGGGCUUGGCUUUAGCUGCAGGGCCUGUGUGCCUAGACAGAGGACUCAGGGAUUUCCAUUAGGUUGCUCAGUGGCAAAUGCGGCCACCCAAAGAAGUGAAGAAGAAUGGAAGUAAAAGAGCAAAGCUUGACCAUCCGCUGAGCUGCUGCAAUCAAGUGAGCAGAGGCGAGGAGAGAAGAGGGAGAACUCGAAGGUGGCUGGCGGCAGUAGGGAGGAGAAGCAGUUUGGGAGCCAGGAGAAUAGAAAUAAAUAGUUAAUGACAAAUACUGCAGGCUUUGUCCUGUGUGGUGAAGGGUUGAAAAGGGGUCUCUUUACUAUCACACUAAACUUUAAAAUAGCUGUGUAUGGUGAAAGGGCAGGUCUAUAAAGGUAAGAGGUCACUCUAGGGUCUUGAAGUCCCAGAUUCUGGCGCUAUUGCCUGCUUCUACCAGCUGAUUUCAACCCAGAAAAUCCCUCAGGUGGUAGCAGUUGUGAUCUCUUGUCCUCCUUUUCUGGACUAGCCACCAGAGAAAGGACACGGUACAUGUGGCCAAGGAAAUAGAGAGGCAGUGUUGCCUGUUAAUAUGGUUCUUGUGGGGGAGCACGGCAGGUUACUUUGGACUAGGUAGGAGGCACAUGUCUCCAAACCUGCACAUCCCGAGGCUCCAGAGACCUCUCUCCAGAUCCCAGAGCUUCCUCAGAGUCCUAAAGAGCCAGAUGGAAUCUGGCCUCUCUCCCCCCACCUCAGCAGUCCAGAAAAAGUUAGUUGUAGACAUGUUAUGUGUCCUCUCCUGCCACACUCCCCUGUUGGUGACUAAUGCAGUCCCAGAGUCCAGGCUCGGUGUCAUGCAUUCCUCUGGGCUGUGACAAGCAGGAGGACGUGAGCUGCAAUGGAUCCUCCUGCGUAUGGGCUGAGUGGGCAACGUCUCUACUGCCAUAUCUGAUUUCCAGCCCACAUGCACUAAGGAGAAGGUGAUGGACUUACUCCAAAGGUGGGGGUGGGAGGAAGCAGAGUGAAGAGGUGAUCAGAGAG